rnacentral:rRNA from 1 species
GUGCUUAACACAUGCAAGUCGAGUGCGCGGUUGUAGCAAUACAACUGGCGCACGGCGCACGGGUGCGUAACACGUGGGCAAUCUGCCCUUCGAUGGGGAAUAACUCCGGGAAACCGAAGCUAAUUCCGCAUAACAUUCCUUGGACUUCGGUUCGAGGAUUCAAAGCCGUAAGGCGUCGAAGGAGGAGCCCGCGCACGAUUAGCUAGUUGGUAGGGUAACGGCCUACCAAGGCUUUGAUCGUUAGCUGGUCUGAGAGGAUGGCCAGCCACACUGGAACUGAGACACGGUCCAG